rnacentral:rRNA from 1 species
CCUACGGGUGGCAGCAGUCGAGAAUCAUUCACAAUGGGGGAAACCCUGAUGGUGCGACGCCGCGUGGGGGAAUGAAGGCCUUCGGAUUGUAAACCCCUGUCAUGUGGGAGCAAAUUAAAAAGAUAGUACCACAAGAGGAAGAGACGGCUAACUCGGUGCCAGAAGCCGCGGUACUACAGAGGUCUCAAGCGUUGUUCGGAAUCACUGGGCGUAAAGCGUGCGUAGGCUGUUUCGUAAGUCGUGUGUGAAAGGUGCGGGCUCAACCCGCGGACGGCACAUGAUACUGCGAGACUAGAGUAAUGGGGGGGGAAGCGGAAUUCUCGGUGUAGCAGUGAAAUGCGUAGAUAUCGAGAGGAACACUCGUGGCGAAGGCGGGUUCCUGGACAUUAACUGACGCUGAGGCACGAAGGCCAGGGGAGCGAAAGGGAUUAGAUACCCCAGUAGUC